rnacentral:misc_RNA from 1 species
GAUGAAGAACGCAGCGAAAUGCGAUAAGUAGUGUGAAUUGCAGAAUUCAGUGAAUCAUCGAAUCUUUGAACGCACAUUGCGCCCUUUGGUAUUCCUUAGGGCAUGCCUGUUCGAGCGUCAUUUAAACCUUCAAGCUAAGCUUGGUGUUGGGUGACUGUCCGCUUCACUGCGGACUCGCCUCAAAAUUAUUGGCGGCCGGUACAUUGGCUUCGAGCGCAGCAGAAACGCGAACUCGGGCCCGUCGUAUUGGCUCCCAGAAGCUAUCUUCACAAUUUUGACCUCGGAUCAGGUAGGGAUACCCGCUGAACUUAAGCAUAUCAAUACGCGGAGGA